UGGGGAAUAUUGGACAAUGGGGGCAACCCUGAUCCAGCGAUGCCGCGUGUGUGAAGAAGGCCUGCGGGUUGUAAAGCACUUUAGUUGGGGAGGAAAGGUAUGUACUGCAUAAGUGCAUGCUGUGACGUUACCCAAAGAAUAAGCACCGGCAAACUCUGUGCCAGCAGCCGCGGUAAUACAGAGGGUGCAAGCGUUAAUCGGACUUACUGGGCGUAAAGGGCGCGUAGGCGGCAAUUCAAGUCAUCUGUGAAAUCUCCGGGCUUAACUCGGAACGGUCAGAUGAUACUGCUUUGCUAGAGUGCAGAAGGGGCAAUCGGAAUUCUUGGUGUAGCGGUGAAAUGCGUAGAUAUCAAGAGGAACACCUGAGGUGAAGACGGGUUGCUGGGCUGACACUGACGCUGAGGCGCGAAAGCCAGGGGAGCAAACGGGAUUAGAUACCCCGGUAGUCCCUGAGCGGGCUGGCAAGGCGCAU
rnacentral:rRNA from 1 species